UUCUACACUUUAACAGCAACUAUCAACUACAUUUAUACUUCCAGGUACAGGAAAACAUAAUUAACUGGAAGCAACAGAAAUAUUAUGUUCAUGUUCAGUUUAUUUAGUCCAAGUUAAAAAAGAAAAUAGUGAUGCUACAGAAACAAAACAGAUACUGACAACAUAAUCUAAACAGUCAUAUGCCUUAGGUAAACAGUGGUUGCAUACCACUAUAAAUCAAAAGGAAGAAAAAGUUCCAAUUACUAUAAUAAACAGUAAGCAUUAAAACCAUAAAAUAUCUCAUAUCAGUUCUGUGAAAUUAAAAUUAUGCUGAUUAUACCAAAAUUUUUAAGUAUUUAGUAAUAGAUAAAUGUCCAAAGAGGUGGUCUUGUUUUGCUAUUUUAACCAAAUAUUCAAGAAUUCUAAUGAGCUGUAGUGCAGAGACAGCUAACUGCCAGAUGCUCUGCUACAGUCUGGGCUGCUACUGUGGUGGGGUAUGAGACAGAAAAAAAGGUCAGAUGCAGGCAGAGGGGACUACAGAAACAGGAGCAACAGGCCACAAAAAACACACCAACUCAGAUGGGCAGGGAGGGAGAUUCUUGCAGUGCACCAAGCUUCUGUAUCUGAACAAGGAUAGUGAAAUAUUCUACAGGUUAUCAUCAUCAAUGUUAAAAAGUGACUACAUGUCUGUGUGUGUUUAGAACACAUUCUGAUUUUCAUAUCAUUUGACAGAAAUAUCAGGUUCCUGUACAGUUUGAGUUCAACAAGGAAGUAAUAAUUCCAGCUUAGACACCACUACACCAUACAGCAAUUCUUUUAUAAUGUGACAAUCCAGUUCGCGCCACAGCACAAGUCGCUGCCUGGGGUUCCUGCCUCUGCCCCUACUCCUCGAGUGCUGCUGCUGAUGCAGUCCCCACUGCACCUGAGGAUGUAGCCAGCACAGCCACCGCUGCCACCAACUCCGUCGCCUCUGUUGCUGGGUCCUGUGUAGCCAUCGUCUCCAACACUCCCACUGGUGCCUCUGGUGCCAACUGCUUACCUUGACUUGGACAUCAUUAUGAAGAUGCUGACCCUGGUCCUGCUCCACAGCCUCUCAAAAGAAGGCAGGAUGGCACACUAAAUCACCUCAUCACCACUUCCAUCCCUAUUCGCUGCUGUCUGCUCAUCGCAUGCUGCACCAGCCACCAUCAUUGGGCAAUGAAAUGGAUGUCGGGGCAGUCAUUGGUAUUUUCUGUGACUGUUAAUAUCAGUGCUUUGUGAGAUCAGUGCUCUUUUUUAUGGUACCAGUGCUUAUUUUCUGUACCAGUGCUUUUUUUCUGUACCAUGCAUUUUUCUGUACAUAGUGAAUUUAUUUAUGUGAUUGUCCCAACCCUGGAAGGGAAGAGUGAUGCACCUUCACUCAUGAUCCACAUGAUAUCAGAGAUUGUGUGUCCAUACAGUUCAUAGGCCUGCUUACAGGGGCCACCUGGGACAGUUCCCUGGCAUGCUCUGGUGAGGCGCCAAAAGAAACAAUAUUAUUUAAGUAACCACGAAUGAGUGCUCAGCCUAUUCUGUAACCAUUAUUACUGUAGUCCAGCCAAUGUGUUCAGUGCUGUGAACAACCUGAACUUCAUUGCAACUUCUGUGUUUCUCUACAAAGUACUACAUUCCAUUGCUACAGCAAUAACCACCUGUAGACUUUCUACACACUCUGUCACCAGCCCAAUCAGAGUCAACAUAAUGAAUUACAGUACGAGUACAAUUCUUAUCACCUGCACAUAACAGGUUAGUUUUAGGCUAGGCGCAAAUUGAGAUGCGUAUAGCACGUGUGGCGCGACGCAGUGCAGCGCAUGUUUUUGUAACAUCACAGGUUCAAAUGGGACCGCGUCAACUGCGACGCGACAUGACUGGGAUGCGACAUGCACCUGCAUCAGGUCGCGCGGAGUUGUGGUUGAGGCACAGUUUCUCACGCCACGCGUCGCACUUGCCUUGCUAGCACCGUGGGAAAUUUGAGGUGGGGAGCGGAAAAGUAGCACGGCCAUAUGCUCACAUCGGAACGGCGCAUAUGAGCAGUGGUAAUAUUGCCCAUACGAUAAAUUUUGCCUUACUGUGUAGAAUUUUAUAGCCUUUGGGUAGUGUUUCGUUUUUCACCAUUUAAACGCUCCAGCUUUCUUUGUUAGCAUGUUAUACUUUUCUGUUAUUUAUAUGAGCAUAGUUUUGUUUUGUUUUUCUUCUGUCAAGAAAAAUGUAUACUUCAGUAACUGAUGAGCCAUUGGCCGCUGGAAUUGCACCAUAUGCCUCAGUGAUGUUUUCAGAUCGCAAGAAGGGACAGAGGGUAGUGAAUGAGGAAGCAAGGAAUAUUAUAAAAUCAUGUGAUUAAGAAUCAAAGCAGGAAAGUAAAGCAAUGUUAUCUUCUCGCUGCCUAGUAAGCUAGCGUAUCUAUACGAUCUGUUACAAAAAUUUAGAAAGGGAUAAUCUCCACAGGUGCGAUCCCUUUGUGCAUCUGGUAAAAAGCGUCCAAGAUCUGAAGUAUAGAAGUUUCACAGUGAUUACUCUGAUAUGGAUGUAAUAAUGUAAUACGACACACUGUACUACAUGCAUGUGAACAACAUAUUUCCACUGCAAGCUGGAAACAGUCAAAAUGCAGUCACAAAUAACAAUGUUUUAAUUGGUUCGCCGUGAUGAGAAAAAGCAUUUCAAUUGUUCCAUGGACAUUAUCAGAAUUAAUAAACUAAUUAUACAACAAUAGGAUACACAAAUGAAGAAAAUGGUCGGUAUUAUUAUGAAAGUAGGAAUAUCCUAAAAGAUUGUUACGAUUAGAUAUAUUUAAUUUGUUGAAAUGUGCUGCUGACAAAGGCAGAUCUACUUUCAUGACAAUGUUUUUCUAACUCCAUCUCACAAGGCACACAUGGCUAGCUUGUGCAUUCCAGUCGUGCGCAUUAUCCUUCGCUGCUGACAAUAAACUGAUCAUUGUGUUGUGCGACAGAUCAAUUGUUUAUUUUUCUGAACAACAACUAUUUUAUUCGCGAUCACGCAAUGUCAGUUUGGCAAGCCCUGGGUGAGUAAACAGUAUCUGGCAUGUGCCUAUCAUUCCGCCUGAAGGAACGCUCGUCAUUAUUUUAAUACUGCUCAGAUCAAGAGAAGGAAUAAAAUCUUUUGGUAAGUUUCCAUUCCAGUUGCUCAGUGUUAGAAAUACGAUGGGUUACGGGGAUUCCACCAAAAUUCCAACAGAAUUGCCAGUCUGUUUUUGUGUGAGUUGUUAACCUUUUCUCAUUCGAAGAAGCAUCACCAAUUUAUGAGUAAAGGCCACAUUUCUCUUGGUGACUGGUUUAAUUGUACUUCCUUUGUCACAAUGUAAUUUGCCAAACUCCUCUCACAUCAGCUAUUGAGACAGAAUUCCAAAACGGAGGGCCUCAUUAAACAAGUAGUUGGCAAUCACAGAGCUCAAUAGCUUACGAAAAACCUCGUAGUAUCGGUUUGCAGUAACAUAAAAGAAGAAAUUUCAUUUUUAUUUUCAUACUAGGAAGCUCUUGUUUCACUAGCUGUCGACAACUCUUAAAAAAUACAGUCACUGGAGUGAGAUAAAUAAAAAAAGAAGUAUAAGUAGUGAUAAAUCACCAUAGAUAAGAAAGUUCCAUGUGUUUAAUAAUUGGCAAAACACUCUCCUCCUUGUGUGCUAUCAUUCGCCAAACUUUCGUUUCAAUGUCUCGAGUGGUUUAGGAGAUACGAGAAAUGUUGCGAGUAUUUCAUUCUUGCGGAUGUGAGAUGGGAAGUGAGCGCGCUACAUGGGAUCCAUUUUCUCGAGAUCGGAGGCAGAUAGAGAUAUCCUUCCACAUCUAAACAACAAUUCAGCAUGUUAGCUGAAUUACAUACGCAGCAACAUAUGGUGUAACACGCACAGAACGCAAAAUCAUAGCAACCCCUAAUUUUCGUUGUAAACUUUUUGAGUUUUGUGUAGUGUCUUACUAAAAUGUGUACAUCACAAUAAGAAUGGUCAUUAGUGAGGUGA